rnacentral:rRNA from 1 species
GUGGGGAAUUUUGGACAAUGGGCGCAAGCCUGAUCCAGCAAUGCCGCGUGCAGGAAGAAGGCCUUCGGGUUGUAAACUGCUUUUGUACGGAACGAAACGGUCCGGGUUAAUACCCUGGGCUAAUGACGGUACCGUAAGAAUAAGCACCGGCUAACUACGUGCCAGCAGCCGCGGUAAUACGUAGGGUGCAAGCGUUAAUCGGAAUUACUGGGCGUAAAGCGUGAGCAGGCGGUUUUGUAAGACAGGCGUGAAAUCCCCGGGCUCAACCUGGGAAUUGCGCUUGUGACUGCAAGGCUGGAGUGCGGCAGAGGGGGAUGGAAUUCCGCGUGUAGCAGUGAAAUGCGUAGAUAUGCGGAGGAACACCGAUGGCGAAGGCAAUCCCCUGGACCUGUACUGACGCUCAUGCACGAAAGCGUGGGGAGCAAACAGGAUUAGAUACCCCGGUAGUCC